GAGGUCGUGGCUCAGAGGUAGAGUGCUCACCUAGCACGAGUGAGGCACUGGGUUCAAUCCUCAGCACUACA
rnacentral:tRNA from 1 species